UGGGGAAUAUUGGACAAUGGGCGAAAGCCUGAUCCAGCAAUACCGCGUGUGUGAAGAAGGCCUUCGGGUUGUAAAGCACUUUCAAUUGGGAGGAAAACCUACCGGUCAAUACCCGGUAGCUUGACAUUACCUUUAGAAGAAGCACCGGCUAACUCCGUG
rnacentral:rRNA from 1 species